UACGUAGGGCGCAAGCGUUGUCCGGAAUUAUUGGGCGUAGAGAGCUCGUAGGCGGCUUGUCACGUCGGAUGUGAAAGCCCGGGGCUUAACUCCGGGUCUGCAUUCGAUACGGGCUGGCUAGAGUGUGGUAGGGGAGAUCGGAAUUCCUGGUGUAGCGGUGAAAUGCGCAGAUAUCAGGAGGAACACCGGUGGCGAAGGCGGAUCUCUGGGCCAUUACUGACGCUGAGGAGCGAAAGCGUGGGGAGCGAACAGG
rnacentral:rRNA from 1 species